rnacentral:lncRNA from 1 species
GGUCAACAAUAGCUCGGGUUUCCGAAAGGAAGAAAGUCUAGAGGAAGACUGUCAGCUUAUCCAUAUACGGGAGCCUCGGUUUAGAGGCGAGCUGGCACAAACCCCUCUGCCAGGGCAGAUGUGUGGGCGGACGACUGUGUGCCAUGCACAGACAGGGCCAGCCUAGCCAUGGGCGAAACAUUAGCGGCAUCAAAGGGAGACCAACCACGACUGACAAAGCCACAACUAUUAAUGUGCAAUAUGCCCCGCAGGCACGGGUCUCUGUGCCAGAAUCUCCCCGGGCUUAUUUUCAGCGAAGUGACUAACAACCUCGUCUCCGGAAAAAAUCCACAAAGUAGCCAAGACUGGAGCAACUGCCUUUUACGAAAAGACUAAGAACCAUUCAGCACAGAAGUGAAAGCUGAGACAGAACGGGUUGAACGCAAAGGCCGUGGGAUAAGAGCCAUAGCUCUUCACCUCUUACAACAGCUGGAAAGAAGAAUCAGCUUUGAGAGGUUUACACUCAAGCUCACUAAUACUCUAAGGAGUAUGUCCAAAAUGAACCAGAAUAAAGGUUAUUGUUGUCAUGGAACCUACACUUUUAUUAUAAUCUCAUGGUGGCCCCUGCCCCCACUCCCAGGAUUGCACUAGCAAGAGUCCAAGGGCCUUGCUUGCUUACAGAGUAGACAGGAAAAAUAAAAAUAAUUGAGGUCAUGACACGUGCUACUCGUGUUGCAAACAGAGCUUAGAAAACUGGAUGAGUGAACCAUCCUGAUGAUGAGUUAAGAUGUUUGCUACUCUUUGUCUCAUGGGUACUAUUUUCAAGGAAAUGCUGUUAGCGUCCCUUGAAGACACCAUUCGAUUCCAUGCUUUUGGGCAGUACCUCUCUGCCCUAGCCCUACUGUAACCUCCCAGUGGCAACAUCUGCUCAGCAACGGGCCUGCUGUAAGGAGGGGCACAAUGGACUUCAUUUCCCUUUCCUUUCGACCCUUUUCCAGAGGA